rnacentral:rRNA from 1 species
CCCUUAGAUGUUCUGGGCCGCACGCGCGCUACACUGAUGCAUUCAACGAGUCUAAAACCUGCUCUGAUAGGGGUGGGUAAUCUUUUGAAUGUGCAUCGUGAUUGGGAUAGAUGAUUCAAUUUUUCAUCUUCAACGAGGAAUGCCUAGUAAACGCAAGUCAUCAGCUUGCAUUGAUUACGUCCCUGCCCUUUGUACACACCGCCCGUCGCUCCUACCGAUUGAAUGAUCCGAUGAAUAUCAUGGAUUGAGGAUGCAAGCAGGUUCGCCUGUCUUCAUCUUCGAGAAGUGAAGUAAAUCUUAUCAUUUAGAGGAAGGAGAAGUCGUAACA